rnacentral:misc_RNA from 1 species
AACGCACCUUGCGCUCCUUGGUAUUCCGAGGAGCAUGCCUGUUUGAGUGUCAUUAAAUUUCUCAACCUUAUCGGUUGGAUGGGUGGGGGUUGCUGGCUCCUCAGGUCAGCUCCCCUUAAAUGCAUUAGCUACUUGGUGUGAUAAUUAUCUACGCCGUGGAUGCACAAUCAAUUUGACCUCAAAUCAGGUAGGACUACCCGCUGAACUUAA